rnacentral:lncRNA from 1 species
CCAUUCGGAUCCGUUUAUUGACAAAUCGAAUGAAAAACAAUCAUAUAAAAGGAUAUAAGACCAUAAAUGUGGUUAACACGUGGAGCGGGUGGAGGAGGGCAGUUGGGAUGUGGGUACCGCAUGGGGAGGGAGGAGGCUGGGCAUACCACUAAAGGGAGAAGCAGAGAAGAGGGGGAGAAAGGGGGAAAGAGGAGGAAAGAAGGUGUCUGCUAACAAUCCCACAGCUCACCUUUCAGUUUUUCAGCUGUCACCCAACCAUUCUCUCCUGGACAGGAUUAACAGCUGGAAAUGAUUUAAGGGCAACAACGAAGCAGUUUGUCUACAAGAACUGGGAGAUGGGGGAUGGGAUAGGGUUCUGAGGGAGUCUCUCCCUUGAACGUGUCGCCAGAAACCUGUUUAGGGUGAACUGAGAGCUAGGAAGCUUAGUCUUGUUCCCAACUCAGCCACCAGCGAACCAGCUGUGUGACUUUGGGCACGUCACUUCCCCUCCGGGCCUCUCACCUUGGCUGUGAAACAAGCAAACUGGACUCGAUGGUGGGUCCUACUCUGGCUCUAGCAAUGCCAAGCGCUUUGGCAACCUGAGCUGGGCCAGGAGUCUGGCUCAGCUUUGGAAAAAUAAAACUACUUAGAGGAGAGUGACACAGUGCUAGCCUUCACCAGGAAACUACAGUCAGCAGAAGCAGCAGCCACUCAGAGGACGAGUGUAAGUGCACACACCUAUGAGGAAUUCACUGUCCCUACAAGAUGAUCUUUGCAGGAAGUGGCUGCAAGGGAGCUGGGUUUUGCUCUACGCAGAAGGCAGGUGCAGGGGAAGGGGACGAUCCAACCAAAGCAGUCACACAUUGUGCGGGGUCUGGGGAUACGGGGUACAGUAGACAUGGGAAGAGAGGGCUGUGGACUUUGGGGCAGGGUUGGAAAGUAGAGCCGUGCCAGUACCUCACCGCGUGCCGCACUGCUCAUUUCAGACGCCCUGCCCCCUUCAAACAGAGGCUUGGGCCCCUCGGUCUAGUUGAAGUAGCUUGUCAGGUAGAGAUGCCACACUCGGCAUCGAGAUCCUUGAUUCCUGUUCUGGUUGACGCCGUUGAAGCAGGGGACGGGUUGUCUUCGUUGGCUAGAGCCAGUUGAGGUAGGCUGUCUCUCCUUGCCCUUCCCCUGCUGAUAAUCGGGAUGCUCUAUGUGGCUGGCCGUACUUCUACCCCAGCUCUGAGCCUCGGGCUCAGAACCGCCAGUCCCUCCUCGACAACUGGACAGGCCUAGGCUGGCCUGAGGAAGGUGGCUGUGAGACUGGGAAUGGGCUGCCUCUCCACAGCCCUCAUGGACUUGGGUCAGCUGUGACAGCGAGAAGAGCAAAGGGUCCCCAGGGUACAGUUCAGGGGAAGAGUCCAUAUUCGAGAUUUCUGUUUGAUAAGGGAAUGUGGUUCCGAUUUUGAGGCCCAGAGCCAACACCGUUUGACCGUUAGGACAGGCAGGAGUAACAUUCUGGGGGGACGUGUGUAUGUACCUGCACACGUGUGACAGGACGAUAGGGAUACCCGGGGAAAGACAAUGAGCCUGGCCUACCUUAAAAAGGGGACUUUCUGCCCCCCAGGGUAAAACUGCCAGAGGCCCAUAUCUCACAGCCUUUGACAGACUCUCCCGAUAUCCCAAACUGGGGAUGCUUCCAUAGGGACGCUGAUCCCCAGUUCAAGGCAAUUCAGCAAAGCUUUGUGAAUUGACUUCUCCGCAAAAGGCACAACCGAGGCCCCCAGGGGGCUAUGAGACCACUUCUUGAGGCUGGGGGAGGCCUAGCAGCAAAAGCCCAGGACCCUGGAGUGGGGGCUUUCCCGGCACCCCGGUCAUUGCUCUAAGACCUUGAAGGACAGGGGUGUGCCGCUCUUGGCAAAGGCCUUCAUCAGGCUGCUGGGAUAGAUGCACCCAAGCUUCUCUGGAGUCGGGAAGCCCCAGACCCUGUAGAGAGAAAGGCUCAGCCGGUCCCCGAUAUAGAAGGGGCCCACCCAUUUGGCACUGCUGCCGUUCCUGGGGAGCGACAGCAAGAGGACCUGGUCGCCCACAUUCCACUCCUUCUCCUGACUCUCCCGCUUGAAACGCCUAUUCUCCGCCUUUUCGCUAGCCUUGUCGGUCACCCGCCAGUGUAGCUCCAACAGCUCCCCAAUGAGCUGCAACAAGAAGACAUCCAUCUUGAGCCCUUCGAUAUUGGCACUGCUCAUCUCCCACCACAGCGGCUCGCUCAGCCUCACUUCAUCCCCCGUCAGGAUCUGGACCGGCGUGGCCUGGGUGGAGGAGGCCCUAAAGGCCAGGUGCAGCAGGGGCAGGGAAGCCGCCCACUUCUUGCCAUGCAGGAAGAUGAACUCCUUGAGGGCCCUCUUGAAUUCCCAGUAGGCAUCUGAGCUGGCCAGGCAGGGGAACUGGAGGUCCCUGCUCAGGGAGGCUGCCUGGGCUCCCAGGGCCAGCCCACAGCUCACCAGGACAUGCCGAGCAAACUGGGGGCCCUGGGCAGCCUCCAGCCUCACGGGAACGCCCCACCUGGCAAACACAUGCUGGAGCAGCACCUGGGCCACUGCCGUGUGCGUGUAGGGCUUCAGGGGGAAUGCCUCCACCCAUCUGGUGUUGGGGUCGGCCACAAUCAGCACGUGCUUGUGGCCCUCCUCGCUUAUGGUGACUGGGCCCACCACCUCAAUCUGCAGGUUGGACCAGGGGGCGGUAGACCUGAGGGGCCACACGGACUCGAUAACCUUCAGCUCACUGCCUAUGAGAUUUCGGGGGAUGCAGAACAGGCAGCUUCGGCAGUAGUCCCUCACAUGCUCCUGCAUCCCGGGCCACCACCCCAGCAAACGCAAUUUCUUGUAGGUCUCCUCGGGCCUCUGGUGGGCGCCCAGGGGAAGGUCAUGCACGGAGAAAAUCAGGUCCCUCCGGAGUUGCCUUGGGACUACCCAGACCUUGGGCCUUUUAUCCCCCUUGAACAUAAGCAGACCGCUCUCUUUGUCGAGGCUGAGUGAGUUAAAGACAGAACUGAAGGGUGAGGAGCCAGACAAUUUCUGCCCGGCCUGCAGCUUGGCGAUGAUAUCGGCCAGAGUGCUGUCGCUCAGCUGUAAUGCCAGCAAGUCGGGCCUCUUGCCCAUGGUGUGAGGAGAUACUACAGGGAUCGGCACGUCCUUUGGCAAGUUCCACCACUCCCCGCCCCCCUGUGCUCCCUGCUUGGCCAGGGUGUCCACUGUCACAGCAAACAGGGAGCCCCGGUAGGAGGUUCGGUAGAUGAAUGGAAGGGACGAGAGGUCAGAGGUGAGCGAGAUGAUGUAGGACAGCAGGCUCGGGUGAGGUAGCGGGGCCCCGUCCGAGGAGAGGAAGCCUCGAGCCCUCCACAGGGGCAGGAGCUCCCAGAGGAGGCUGAAGAUCCAGUUGCAAUGCGUGAGGAAAACCACAGGGAGGUGGGACUGGCCGAAGCGCUCCAGGCCACAGGCCACGGCCGCCAGGUGGGCAUAGGUUGGUGUGUACGGGGAGCAAGAGAAGGAAAGGGAGACAGGGGCGCUGGUGGGAGACAGGACAUAGAGACCAAAGCCAGCACACCACUCGUCCUCACGGUAAAAGCAAUAGCCCGACAUGUGGAUGCAGACAAAAGUGGACAGGUCGGAAAAAGGAGGCAGAACCUGGAAAAAGCGAGGCAUCGAGGACGCAGGCGUCAGCAGUCGGUUUUCUCCCAGCAGGCCCUGGAGAAGGGUCAAUUCCAGGGCCCUCUUGCCUUUGUCCUGUACCAAGAGGGACCAUCGGAUCAACCAUGCUUUGGAAAGUCUGCGGCCCUCUGGCGCCUCGGGGUCCACAGUGGCCCGGGAGGCAUAGGAAAGGUCCAGGACCACUGGGGUGUCUCCAAUGCAGCGGGAAAAAUGUUUGAGGGCCCAGGCCACCGCAUAGGGGCUGUCUCCCCCUGACUGGGGGCCCUCGCUCUCCUCAUCGGGAAGGAGGGGCUUCGAGGUAUAGGCUACGGGGUGCUUCCUCCCCGAGUGCUCCUGAUAGACAACGGCCGUGAGGGCCACUUGGCUCACUGUCACCUCCAGGCGGAAGGGCAGCUGGGUGUUGGGGGCCGUC